AUAUAAUUGAAAAAAUUACAAAAAAUUUUACAUAUAUAACAAAAUAAAAUUUGUUUUAAAUUAUGAUAAUAAUGAUUAUAUAAAAAUAAAUAUAGAUCAAACUCAAAUAAGGGAAACCAAACACAUGAACAUAAAUGCAAGUCACGUGUAAAGAAAUUUCAAAUUCUAAUUUUUUUCUAUAUAAAAUCAGAAUUUAAAGAACAUCAUGAUCUCACAAUGUAUCAUCAAAAUUUAAAUUUGAUUAAUUUGUAUUUAAUAAUUCAACUUUUUUGAUCAUGUUGUUUCGCUUAUUUUUUUUUUUUUUUUUUGUACUCUAUCCACUCCCACCUGAGUGGCAGUGGCAAGAGCUGUAGGAGACGCGGCAAUGAUCUGUGCUGGCGAAGAGUUUCCCUUAGAUGAAUCCGUGCUGCUGAGGCGAACAACUCCCACCGUCUGCUGUUGUUGUUGCGAUUGUCCACCUUGUCCUUGACUGGAUGAAUGCGAUGGAUGCGAUGAGGAAUGAGGAGUUGAUUGUUGUAUCAGUACAUUUGAUUUAUCAUCUUCUUCACUGAAUGCAGAUCUUGCAUCCAUGCGUACAUUUGCCCAAGGAAGUUCUUUUGGCCACCAUGGUGGUCGUGUACUAUCUCUUCCCCAACCAGGUUUACCUCUGCCUGUAGAAUACUUUAACAUUAAUGGGAUGAAUGCUCUAAGUUGAGCUUGUGUCAUUUUUUCCACAGGUGUUGGUAUGCCAUCUAUUAUAAGAG